rnacentral:rRNA from 1 species
GACGAACGCUGGCGGCGUGCUUAACACAUGCAAGUCGAACGGAAAGGCCCUGCUUUUGUGGGGUGCUCGAGUGGCGAACGGGUGAGUAACACGUGAGUAACCUGCCCUUGACUUUGGGAUAACUUCAGGAAACUGGGGCUAAUACCGGAUAGAAGCUCCUGCUGCAUGGUGGGGGUUGGAAAGUUUCGGCGGUUGGGGAUGGACUCGCGGCUUAUCAGCUUGUUGGUGGGGUAGUGGCUUACCAAGGCUUUGACGGGUAGCCGGCCUGAGAGGGUGACCGGCCACAUUGGGACUGAGAUACGGCCCAGACUCCUACGGGAGGCAGCAGUGGGGAAUAUUGCACAAUGGGCGGAAGCCUGAUGCAGCAACGCCGCGUGCGGGAUGACGGCCUUCGGGUUGUAAACCGCUUUCGCCUGUGACGAAGCGUGAGUGACGGUAAUGGGCAAAGAAGCACCGGCUAACUACGUG